CCUACGGGUGGCUGCAGUAAGGAAUAUUGGUCAAUGGACGCAAGUCUGAACCAGCCAUGCCGCGUGGAGGAUGAAGGUCCUCUGGAUUGUAAACUUCUUUUAUUUGGGAAGAAACCCAUAUUUUCUAAUGUGGUUGACGGUACCAGAUGAAUAAGCACCGGCUAACUCCGUGCCAGCAGCCGCGGUAAUACGGAGGGUGCAAGCGUUAUCCGGAUUCACUGGGUUUAAAGGGUGCGUAGGCGGGCAAGUAAGUCAGUGGUGAAAUCUCUGGGCUU
rnacentral:rRNA from 1 species